UGAGGAAAAAAAAAAAAAAAAAAUCAACUCAGGUUAACUCAGGUGAAAUAGAUCCAGUGCUUCCUAGAAUUCUGCUGCUUCUACCCAAGUGAAAAGGGAGAUUUCUUCUCCAAACACACUGUCAAAUAUUCUCCAAAUAUACAGGUUUUCUUAUCACGUUUUUCCUGUCUUACAGGCUCCUUUCAGAGCAACUCUUAGACUGAAAAACCUGGCCACAGGCCCCAGAGCUUCAGCGACUGACCCAUAGGCCCCUGCCUCUCCAGUGGGUGGAGGGAUGAGGCCCAAGAGGCCAGUUAGGCCCAGCCUUCUACCAUCUAGAUCAGGGAUGACAGUGCUUCCUCAUGCCGCCCCUGUGCCAAGUGCUCAGGUUUACCCAGAAGACACAAGGCUGAUGAACUGAGGCAGGGCACAUGGGGUACACACCAUCUGCUCAGAACACAAAUAUAUAAUGAAUGGUGCUGGGGUGAUCAGCUUUAUCAUCGUACUAGAAGAAAGGAUAAUGUGUUCUCCCGGAAUAACAAGAAACAAUGCUCUACAACAAAGCACUUCUAAAACUUUUAAAUUACAAAUUGUACAUGGGGAGGAAAGAAAAAGAAGGGAAGGAAGAACAUCAAAGACUAAAUACAAUUAAUUUUUUUCUGAAACUAUAAACAUGUAUUUUGUUUUAAAGAACAGCAAAAUAUCAGAUGGGAUAGCUAAAAUCUACAUAUAUAUAUACACACACACACAAACAUUUCAUACACACACACAAAUAAAACACAUUCAGAAGAAUAAUCAAGAUUUA